rnacentral:rRNA from 1 species
CCCUUAGAUGUUCUGGGCUGCACGCGCGCUACACUGAUGCACUCAACGAGUUUACGACCUUGCCCGAUAGGGUUGGGUAAUCUUUUUAAAAUGCAUCGUGAUGGGGAUAGGUUAUUGCAAUUAUUAAUCUUCAACGAGGAAUUCCUAGUAAGCGCGAGUCAUCAGCUCGUGCUGAUUACGUCCCUGCCCUUUGUACACACCGCCCGUCGCUCCUACCGAUUGAGUGCUCAGGUGAAUAAUUCGGACUGCAGCAAUGUUUGGAUCCCGAACGUUGCAGCGGAAAGUUUAGUGAAUCUUAUCACUUAGAGGAAGGAGAAGUCGUAACA